GAAAGGGCCGGGCAAGACCGGUGCCAGCCGCCGCGGUAAUACCGGCGGCUCGAGUGGUGGCCACUAUUACUGGGCUUAAAGCGUUCGUAGCUGGUUUGUUAAGUCUCUGGGGAAAUCUUCCGGCUUAACCGGAAGGCGUCUCAGGGAUACUGGCAGACUAGGGACCGGGAGAGGUGAGGGGUACUCCAGGGGUAGGAGUGAAAUCCUGUAAUCCUUGGGGGACCACCUGUGGCGAAGGCGCCUCACCAGAACGGCUCCGACAGUGAGGGACGAAAGCUGGGGGAGCAAACCGGAUUAGAUACCCGGGUAGUCCCAGCUGUAAACGAUGCGCGUUAGGUGUAUCGGUGACCACGAGUCACCGAGGUGCCGAAGAGAAAUCGUGAAACGUGCCGCCUGGGAAGUACGGUCGCAAGGCUGAAACUUAAAGGAAUUGGCGGGGGAGCACCACAACAGGUGGAGCCUGCGGUUUAAUCGGACUCAACGCCGGGAAACUCACCAGUUAAGACAGCUGAAUGAUAGUCGGGCUGAAGACUCUACUUGACUAGCUGAGAGGUGGUGCAUGGCC
rnacentral:rRNA from 1 species